AUAUAGUAAAACCACAACCACUGUGCAAAGAUACUGAAGGACAUGCCAGCACUAGUCUGCAAGAAAGUGCAACAGCCACUACCAGCUCCAGAACAACACCAAAGAAAUCUUCAAAAAGAACCUUUGACGAGACUUUCAUCAACCAGCAAGAGCGCAUGAUGACAUGCCUUGAAGCCAUUCAGGCUUCUUUAUCAACAAUGGUUGAAUUAAAAAAAGAAAAAUUACGUUUGCUCUCAGCCCAAAAGGUCAGCGACCUGAUGUCUGACACCGAGUUGUUACAUGUUUAUGAAUCUUAAAUGUUCUUGUUAAAUGGACCUUUUUAAAGAUCUUGGCAUGUAUGGAAGUGUGUUAUUAAAUGUUUUGAAUUGAUUAAGUAAUCAUUAUGCCCCCCUUCGAAGAAGAGGGGGUAUAUUGCUUUGCACAUGUCUGUCGGUCGGUCCAUCCACCAGGUGGUUUCUGAAUGAUAACUCAAGAACACUUGGGCCUAGGAUCAUGAAACUUCAUAGGUACAUUGAUCAUGACUCGCAGUUGACCCCUAUUGAUUUUCAGGUCACUAUAUCAAAGGUCAAGGUCACGGUGACCUGAAAUAGUAAAAUGGUUUCCGGAUGAUAACUCAAGAACGCUAAUUGCUACGAUCAUGAAACUUCAAAGGUAGAUUGAUCAUGACACGCAGAUGACCCCUAUUGAUUUUGAGGUCAUUAGGUCAAAGGUCAAGGUCAUGGUGACCCGAAAUAGUAAAAUGGUUUACGGAUGAUAACUCAAGAACGCUUAUGCCUAGGAUCAUAAAACUUCAUAGGUACAUUGAUCAUGACUCGCAGAUGGCCCCUAUUGAUUUUCAGGUCACUAGGUCAAAGGUCGAGGUCACAGUGACAAAACAUACUCACACAAUGGCUGUCACUACAACAGAGAGCCCAUAUGGGGGGCAUGCAUGUUUUACAAACAGCCCUUGUUUUAACUAAAAAGCUCCAGUAAAAAAACAGGAAAAAUAAUAAUUUGGAAAGUUUUGUCGUUAUCUUUAUAUUUUCUGACAUUUACAAUGAUUGCUAGACUUUUACUCCAAUAGUAAGUGGUUUGCAAUGAAUAAAUACAUUGUAAUAUGAAUUCUAUGUAUUUUUAUGAUUUUUUAUGAGGGAGAUACAGUUUCAUUAUUUCGUCUGCUGAAUGUUAAAACUAGUGUAACUGACAUAUUGUAAAUUUUUCAUGAGAAAAUUAUGCACAAAAUACAUAAAGAGCUCUUACAUUACUCUGCCCAUUUAAUGAUGUUUGUCACCAAAAUAAACAAAAAAAUAAAACCAGUAACAUUUUAUAAACAUGUCAGUUACACGACUUUCAACAAUCAGUAGAAAAUAAUUUCACUGUUGUAAAUUUUAAUAUUGUUUACAU